rnacentral:lncRNA from 1 species
AACUAGAGGUGUUCUAGGUUGAGUCAAAUUUUGGCGCCGUUGCCGGGGAAGGUUUUAGGCGUUUAAUUGUGUCACUUUUCUUUCCGUUUUUUUUUCUUGUUUUCUUUACUUUACGUUUUUAUUUUUUUACUUUUCUUUUCCUCCCACCCGGUGCGUUUAAUCCGUGUGUUAAGUGUUGUGUAUGGCUCAGAACAUGGAGUACAUGGGAGAUUUCACCCGGCCUGUCAUCGGAGACACCAACA